rnacentral:rRNA from 1 species
GACGAACGCUGGCGGCGUGCUUAACACAUGCAAGUCGAACGGAAAGGCCCUGCUUGCAGGGUGCUCGAGUGGCGAACGGGUGAGUAACACGUGUGUGAUCUGCCCCUUACUUUGGGAUAAGCCUGGGAAACUGGGUCUAAUACUGGAUAGGACCAUGCUGGAGGUGGGGUGGUGGAACGAUUAGUUUCGGUUAGGGAUGAGGUAGCGGCCUAUCAGCGUGUUGGUGGGGUAUUGGCCUACCAAGGCGUCGACGGGUAGCCGUCUUGAGAGGGUGGGCGGCCGAAUUGGGACUCAGGGACGGAGACGCCGCCUACGCGCGGAAGCAGUGGAGAAGUUUGGAAAAUGGGAGCAAGGCUGAUGCCGUGACGCCGCGUGGGGGAGGAAGGGCUUAAGGUUUUAGGCUCCUAUCACCCAUGACGAAGCCCUUGUGGUGACGGUACUGGGAGAAGAAGCUCCGGCUAACUACGUG